rnacentral:rRNA from 1 species
UACGGAGGAUCCUAGUGUUAUCCGGAUUUAUUGGGUUUAAAGGGAGCGUAGGCGGGAGGUCAAGUCAGCUGUGAAAUGUAUCUGCUUAACGGGUACACUGCAGUUGAAACUGGUUUUCUUGAGUGCGUAAGAGGCAGGCGGAAUUCGUUGUGUAGCGGUGAAAUGCUUAGAUAUGACGAGGAACUCCUAUUGCGAAGGCAGGUCUCUGGGCAGUUACUGACGCUGAGGAGCGAAAGCAUGGGUAGCGAACAGGAUUAGAUA